rnacentral:rRNA from 1 species
CCUUUUGUAUAAUGGGUCAGCGACUUAUAUUCUGUAGCAAGGUUAACCGAAUAGGGGAGCCGAAGGGAAACCGAGUCUUAACUGGGCGUUAAGUUGCAGGGUAUAGACCCGAAACCCGGUGAUCUAGCCAUGGGCAGGUUGAAGGUUGGGUAACACUAACUGGAGGACCGAACCGACUAAUGUUGAAAAAUUAGCGGAUGACUUGUGGCUGGGGGUGAAAGGCCAAUCAAACCGGGAGAUAGCUGGUUCUCCCCGAAAGCUAUUUAGGUAGCGCCUCGUGAAUUCAUCUCCGGGGGUAGAGCACUGUUUCGGCAAGGGGGUCAUCCCGACUUACCAACCCGAUGCAAACUGCGAAUACCGGAGAAUGUUAUCACGGGAGACACACGGCGGGUGCUAACGUCCGUCGUGAAGAGGGAAACAACCCAGACCGCCAGCUAAGGUCCCAAAGUCAUGGUUAAGUGGGAAACGAUGUGGGAAGGCCCAGACAGCCAGGAUGUUGGCUUAGAAGCAGCCAUCAUUUAAAGAAAGCGUAAUAGCUCACUGGUCGAGUCGGCCUGCGCGGAAGAUGUAACGGGGCUAAACCAUGCACCGAAGCUGCGGCAGCGACGCUUAUGCGUUGUUGGGUAGGGGAGCGUUCUGUAAGCCUGUGAAGGUGUACUGUGAGGUAUGCUGGAGGUAUCAGAAGUGCGAAUGCUGACAUAAGUAACGAUAAAGCGGGUGAAAAGCCCGCUCGCCGGAAGACCAAGGGUUCCUGUCCAACGUUAAUCGGGGCAGGGUGAGUCGACCCCUAAGGCGAGGCCGAAAGGCGUAGUCGAUGGGAAACAGGUUAAUAUUCCUGUACUUGGUGUUACUGCGAAGGGGGGACGGAGAAGGCUAUGUUGGCCGGGCGACGGUUGUCCCGGUUUAAGCGUGUAGGCUGGUUUUCCAGGCAAAUCCGGAAAAUCAAGGCUGAGGCGUGAUGACGAGGCACUACGGUGCUGAAGCAACAAAUGCCCUGCUUCCAGGAAAAGCCUCUAAGCAUCAGGUAACAUCAAAUCGUAUCCCAAACCGACACAGGUGGUCAGGUAGAGAAUACCAAGGCGCUUGAGAGAACUCGGGUGAAGGAACUAGGCAAAAUGGUGCCGUAACUUCGGGAGAAGGCACGCUGAUAUGUAGGUGAAGUCCCUCGCGGAUGGAGCUGAAAUCAGUCGAAGAUACCAGCUGGCUGCAACUGUUUAUUAAAAACACAGCACUGUGCAAACACGAAAGUGGACGUAUACGGUGUGA